CGCCUACAAACUCUCUCGAUGGCUCCAUCCCAAUUUCUCCAAUGUGAGGCGGCGCUGUUGCCUAACCCUAACCCUGUAGGCGGGACUGCAGCGGCUGAUGAGUGCGUCAACCCUCCGUGCAUCCCUUCCCCGUCAGUCCCGCAUGCAGCUCGGCUCUCGCUCUCGCUCUCCCCUCCCUUUCCCGUUCGGCCGUUCCAGCGUUCCCCUGCUCCUGGUCCCCAACUGGUGUGUUCAAUCGAGCACGCAAGGUCCAGGCCAGCAAGGAGGAGCUAGCUACCAUCGCCAUGGGCGAAAGUUCAGUAUUCUAUUCUUAAUAUUCUCUGUCUCUAUUUGAUUUCUUCCCAGAUUGUCCUAUUUGUACUGCAUGUGUGAGCAUGUAUUGUUAACUUUUUUAUUCAGAUACGCGAGAACGACGAUGUGCAGAAGGCUGGGUGCUGGCCGUUGUUUGCCCGUGUCCAUGCACUUGUGCAGGAUCGGAUAACCAGCUAGCCGCUGGGCUUGUAGGCCAAUGCACUUGCAACCGUGCAGCCUGUGCUGCUGAUUAGUGCUCCCGGCUGAAGUACUAGGCAAGUAGGCAUGCCGCUUGGCUUGUGCAUCCAUGUUCCAGGGGCCUCCAAUGGGUAUAUGAGGAUAUAUCAUGUAUGGUCCACAUAUUUUUUUAUCACACAGUUAAUAAGUGUCUUGAAAUAAAGAAGUACUUGCACUCAUACUUUUCUUCGACUAAUAUUGAGAUAAUGUAACAUGGCAAUGAUGGACCCUCCUGGCCUCCUGGGAUUCUUUUGCCUCCUCGCCUUGCCAACUCGGUGGAAUCGCCAACCAGAAGAGUGCGGAAAGGGAGAUGACGGAGCUUGUGGUUUGGUGCCAAAGGGGAAAUGUGAAGACUGAGAGGUGAUUUGGCGGCAGAGAAAAGAUGGAUUUGAUGUAUUUCACAAUCUGCGUUCCGAGACUAUGCUGCUAUCGCUUCCCUAUAUAGGGAUUGAGCUCCAAAUCCAGCUCCUCUAUCCAUCCAUGAUGCCGUCUUUGCGAGAAAGGUAUUCCCACAAAUACCCUUUCCCCGUGCCUCCUUCCCAUCCAGCUCUUUUUCCUCCCUUCUGCUCUCUUCCGGUUUAUCUCCAUCAGGUGUGUAAUUGAUCUGGUUUAGAUAAUGCUUGCAGUAUGGUGCCACUACAAAGGUUUGCCACAUUUGGAUUAAAUUUCUGAAUGUUCACAAUUCACAUGUCUAGCUUUUUGCAGCAUACAUGAAUCAAUUUUAGCAUACAAAUCCUUUUAAGUGUUGCAAGCUUUACUCUAAAGCUGAACAUCAUUGGCCUGAGAUUUUGAUUGAUCUAGACUUGAGUGAUAGCAAGUUAAUUAUAGACUGACUACCCCGCUUCAAUUAGGAUUUCCUAUCUUAUUUGAACUGUUAGAGAACACAUGAAUCGUAUUAAUGAAUUUCUUCGCUGCUUGAUCUGCCUGCUUACGAGGAGGAGCUAGGGGAUGCCCAUGGAGUAAGGUCAUGUACCUCUCUGACCAAGCACGCAGUAAGGCCGUUGAAGAUGCCGAUACAGUUUUUUGUUUCUAUCUUCAGCACGUGCCGUUGUAGUGGAACAAUGAGAGAUUAGGGGGUAUCGCUAGCAAUUGACAACAAACUGAAGGAGAUGAAUCCAGGGUCAUUAGAAGAUAGAGGAAGGCGUUGGAUGAGGAUUGGAGAAUCUCCUGAUUCUUAGAACUUUGUUUUGAGUUGUGUUUUCAUACCCUGUUAUGUUUUUUCUAUGCUAUUCAUCAAAGCCUUCGGUCUUCUUAUC